rnacentral:lncRNA from 1 species
UUUUCAUAUAUUAUAUAUUUAAAUAUUUAAAUGUAUAUUUACUUAUAUUUAAUUUUUACAUUUUAAGAUAAAUGUUUAAUGGAGUAUUUCCAUUUUUUAAAUUGUGUACUUACUUAUUAUUAUUUUUCGUAUAUUAUAUAUUUACAAAUUUAAAUUAACAUUUACUUAUAUUUUGUAUAUUAUAUAUUUAUAUAUUUAAAUAUAUAUUUACUUAUAUUUUGCAUAUUGUAUAUUUAUAUAUUUAAAUUGUAAUAAUGUGAUUUAAUAUAAUAAGGUAAUAAUAGUAGUAAUGAUGCCACAUGACUUAUUUUCGAAUAAUGAUUUUAUGCUGAUGUGGACGCUU